rnacentral:rRNA from 1 species
GCGUAUAUUAAAGUUGUUGCAGUUAAAAGCUCGUAGUUGAAUUUCGGGGUCAGCAGGUUGGUCGUGCCACUGGUAUGAACUGGUCUCGCUGAUCCCUCCUUUCUGAAGAACUGUAAUGUCAUUAAUUUGGUGUUGCAGGGAAACAGGACUGUUACUUUGAAAAAAUUAGAGUGUUUAAAGCAGGCUAACGCUUGAAUACAUUAGCAUGGAAUAAUGAAAUAGGACGUUCAAACCUAUUUUGUUGGUUUCUAGGAUUGACGUAAUGAUUAAUAGGGAUAGUUGGGGGCAUUAGUAUUCAAUUGUCAGAGGUGAAAUUCUUGGAUUUAUUGAAGACUAACUACUGCGAAAGCAUUUGCCAAGGAUGUUUUCAUUAAUCAAGAACGAAAGUUAGGGGAUCGAAGACGAUCAGAUACCGUCGUAGUCUUAACCAUAAA